CACAGACCCCUGGAACCUGACAAACAUAAAUCCUUCACUUAUGGACAUCUACCAGGAGGGAGAUGUUAGCUCAUGUCUUGACUCCAUGAUCUGAUCUCUUCUACUCUGUCAGCAGCAGUCUACGUAUAAACACAGACCCAGUGUGACUGGCAGUCAUAAUGCUACCCAUUUAUUGCUUUCUUCCUUCCCCUUUUGAGCACUGUCAAGAGUUGUGUAGAGAAAGUUAAGUACUGAAGUUCCCCUCAGACACGUAGGAAACAUAGGCCAGAGCUGAGCAACCGAGGAAGGAAAGAGACAACCUGGAAGUGAGACAGCACUCUGCCUGACUGCUCCACAAAUUAGCUAUGAGCCCUUCAAAAAGUUACUAGAUGUCUCUGAGCCUUGUGUUCCUCAAAGGUACAGUGGAAAUGACAGCCACAGCACCUCACAGGACUGCUCUUGGGAUUAAAGGUGCACACAGGUCCUCAGAGAAGAACUGCUCCCUGGGAGGCCACACAUGAGCAUCUGCACAGCAGUGGGGAGCAUCGGAAUGGGAGGCCCCCCGGUGUCACAGGUUUAACCUCGUGGAGAACUGGAAGAAAAGGCUGUCUUGACUCUCCUCGUGGAAAGGGUUGCAAAGGCAGAACUUGCCGGAAGCAGCUCUGAGGCUCUGUCCAGCCAUCUGAGGAGAGCUGUGAGAAAGGGAAACAUCUUCCUCUCUCCUACUCCCCGUUCUGCCUCCUCCCAAGCCAUUCUCUCCUUUCCUAUUCCAUCUCCAAGCUGAUAGCUGCCCCCCCCACCACAAUUAUUCUGGUUUCAGUCAUUCCACAAAGAAUGUUGUUUCCCAUCCCCUCAAAAGAUCUGAUAAUUUUUGAAGCAGAAAAUUCAAGGGUGAGGUAGUAAAUAUGGGGAACAACAAGCAGUCCAGCUCCAGGCGCUUCUGACUGGAUCAUUCAACACGUGUCAAGCGCAACAUCCUAUAUGCUAGAGGCACGUAAGCACCCGUGUGUGUGGUGUGUGUGUGUGUGUGUGUGUGUGUGUGUGUGAGAGAGAGAGAGAGAGAUCAGAUAUAUUGCCAAAACAAUGUUUCAUUAAAUAAUUUCUCUGAGUCUUUUUUCCAUGUUAAUUUGUACAAACAACUGAUACAAAUAUUUACUGUUUUAACAUAUACAUUACCCCAUUGUAAAAACACACCACAAAGUAUGCCACCUUUAUUAUAAUGGUUUAAACCCAAGUCUCAUUCCCUUUGUUUAUAAUGUGUAGAACAACUUGCUUCAAGUGUAAUACUUGGGUAGCUCUGCUAUAACCUGACUGGGGCAUUCUAGGACUUGUCCCCCACUCCGUGAGAGUGGGGAGACAGCCAGGUCCAAGGGAUACCUACAGGUGGGCAAGCCCAGCAGCUGGUGACAUGACGAGUUCACACCUAGACUGACUCCCAUCUCCCUCCAAUGCAUUGGAAAUCACCUGGCUUUAUAUUAUCCCCACACAUUGCUGUGGCAUAACCCUGCCUCCAGGAUCCCUCUUUGUGUCAUAAAUUCUGUAAGCUACUGAAUAAACAAAAGAAAAGGAAGAAAUAAACUUAAGAUCGUGAAAUGA